AAGAAGACUUAAAAAGGGGAAACUCCUCCUGAGGGUGCUGUAGGAGACAUCUGCAAAAAAGAAGAUGCUGGCAAUAUGCCAUCAACCUCAGAGGGGAGUAUUUACCUUGAAAUGGCUCACUUCCUGAGGAACAAACUUGCUGGAUCUAGUGUACGGAAACCUGAUUCUGGGUUCCUUUGGGAAGGAGCAUUACGGGCCUGCUCCUGGACCACCUCAUAUCACCAGCACCCUCUACCCAAGGUCCUGGAGCCAACACUGGAGUAAAAGAGCACAAGAGAACUCCUUAGAGGUGGAAGGAUACCCUCUGAGGUCAAAUCAUUGGGCUUGUGGCCAUGAGACCACAGACUUUGCCUGGCUUCCAGUGACUGUCCGAGAUGACCUGUGGAGUGCACCGCCUGUACUUGGACAUCACUGUCUUUUCGGAUCCAUACCCGUCAUCCUUGGAAUUUCCCCUGCAUCCAAACCUGUUCCUGAUACAGGUAUAACCCUAAGGAAUAUCUUGGAUGUCUUCACGGGGCUUAUGACUUAUUCUGAGGUUUACAAAAUAGAGGCCCCCAGCUGAGCAAAGAGAGGGCUGCAGCGCCGAGGGAACAGCUGCCGGACUCACCGGAGAGGCCUCCUGGAGCACGCCGGGACCCCCUCCACCCCCUGGCUUUGG
rnacentral:lncRNA from 1 species